rnacentral:rRNA from 1 species
CCUACGGGUGGCAGCAGUGGGGAAUAUUGCACAAUGGGGGAAACCCUGAUGCAGCGACGCCGCGUGAGUGAAGAAGUAAUUCGUUAUGUAAAGCUCUAUCAGCAGGGAAGAAAAUGACGGUACCUGAGUAAGAAGCCCCGGCUAACUACGUGCCAGCAGCCGCGGUAAUACGUAGGGGGCAAGCGUUAUCCGGAUUUACUGGGUGUAAAGGGAGCGUAGACGGCAGUGCAAGUCUGGAGUGAAAGGCGAGGGCUCAACCCCCGGACUGCUCUGGAAACUGUACGGCUGGAGUGCAGGAGAGGUAAGUGGAAUUCCUAGUGUAGCGGUGAAAGGCGUAGAUAUUAGGAGGAACACCAGUGGCGAAGGCGGCUUACUGGACUGUAACUGACGUUGAGGCUCGAAAGCGUGGGGAGCAAACAGGAUUAGAUACCCCAGUAGUC